UACGUAGGUUGCGAGCGUUUAUUCGGAUUUACUGGGCGUAAAGAGCACCGAGGUGGCUUCUUAAGUUGGAUGUAAAAUCUCCUGCUUAACUGGGAGGCGCCAUUCAAAACUGAGGAGCUUGAGGUCAGCAGGGGAAGGUGGAAUUCCCGGUGUAGUGGUGGAAUGCGUAGAGAUCGGGAGGAACACCAGUGGCGAAAGCGACCUUCUGGGCUGCACCUGACACUCUAGUGCGAAAGCGUGGGGAGCAAACAGG
rnacentral:rRNA from 1 species